rnacentral:rRNA from 1 species
GACGAACGCUGGCGGCGUGCUUAACACAUGCAAGUCGAACGGAAAGGCCCUGCGUUUGUGGGGUGCUCGAGUGGCGAACGGGGGAGUAACACGUGAGUAACCUGCCCUUGACUUUGGGAUAACUUCAGGAAACUGGGGCUAAUACCGGAUAGGAGCUCCUGCUGCAGGGUGGGGGUUGGAAAGUUUCGGCGGUUGGGGAUGGACUCGCGGCUUAUCAGCUUGUUGGUGGGGUAGUGGCUUGCCAAGGCUUGGACGGGUAGCCGGCCUGAGAGGGUGACCGGCCACAUUGGCACUGAGAUACGGCCCAGACUCCUACGGGAGGAAGGAGUGGGGAAUAUUGCACAAUGGGCGGAGGCCGGAUGCAGCAACGCCGCGUGCGGGAUGACGGCCUUCGGGUUGUAAACCGCUUUCGCCUGUGACGAAGCGUGAGUGACGGUAAUGGGGAAAGAAGCACCGGCUACCUACGU